UACGGAGGAUCCAAGCGUUAUCCGGAAUCAUUGGGUUUAAAGGGUCCGUAGGCGGUCUGAUAAGUCAGUGGUGAAAGCCCUACGCUUAACGUAGGAACGGCCAUUGAUACUGUUAGACUUGAAUUAUUAGGAAGUAACUAGAAUAUGUAGUGUAGCGGUGAAAUGCUUAGAGAUUACAUGGAAUACCAAUUGCGAAGGCAGGUUACUACUAAUGGAUUGACGCUGAUGGACGAAAGCGUGGGUAGCGAACAGG
rnacentral:rRNA from 1 species